CCCCUCGACCUGUUCCAGAAGCUGCUGUACCAGCUACUCUGGAGGGCGUACCUCCUCCUCGACCUGUUCCAGAAGCUGCUGUGCCAGCCACUCUGGAGGGCAGCGUCUUUGUGCAUUCGAGCAAGUUUGCUCAACCGGAGGGGGAUGACAAGACUCUGUGUGUUGAUGAGUGGCCGUUUCUUCAAACAGAGUUUUGUGAGGUGAACCAGCCAACUGCUCGGGUUGUCUCUGGACAGAGAAAACAAGAGGAGCCAACACCUUGGGGUCCAAAAGUUGUGAUGGCCCAGGCUGAUAAACCAACAGCCAAUGAGACCAGCUUCUUGGGGUGUUCAACCAAGAUGACACACAUUGAGGACCACGAGCCGUUUGAACCAGCACCUGAGGUCACUGCGAGCAGUCAGCAGCAGAGCCCGCCUGAGGACAAUGGCCAGCUUGAAGAUCCUCAUGUAACACUUGGCAAUCAGCCAAGUGCACACUG
ensembl:lncRNA